rnacentral:rRNA from 1 species
GGGUUGUGAGGUUAAGCGACUAAGCGUACACGGUGGAUGCCCUGGCAGUCAGAGGCGAUGAAGGACGUGCUAAUCUGCGAAAAGCGUCGGUAAGGUGAUAUGAACCGUUAUAACCGGCGAUGUCCGAAUGGGGAAACCCAGUGUGAUUCGUCACACUAUCGUUAACUGAAUACAUAGGUUAACGAGGCGAACCGGGGGAACUGAAACA